rnacentral:lncRNA from 1 species
GCCAUGUGUGAGUAGAUUGCUUAGCUCUUUAUCCCCCAAAAUUAUUCCCUUUUCUUCCGUAGUAUCUUCUCCAAAUACAAUGAGCCCUCAAGUUACGACUAGCACGACAUACAAACAACUUGCGUUAAUUAGGUUAAUGGAAGAUUCUUCCGCCUGCUGUUAUCCACAGCGUGUAUCCAGAGCUCAUCCAGAUCUCAGCUGUAUUGGCUUAUAACCAACUGUCCCUCAGGAACCAACUGGGCUUUCAGAAAUGAACCAGAGAAAGAAGAAAGCACAAUCAUGGGAGUCCUUGAAGUCUCCUGGGGGUGGAGAGACCUAGAAUUCUUGCUUAUCAUCAAUGAAACUGCUGACAUGGGCUUGAGUGUGCCUGAGAACCAGGAGAGAGGUCAUCUGCUUUCUGCACUGACUUGACAGCUGAUGCCCACCCCAUCUGAGUACAGCCCAGGCAGUGGAGGACUUUGGUUCAGAAGAACUUCCUCUUGGUCUCCUCUAGAACCGCCCUUUGUUUCCUGUUUUUUCCCUAUCGGCUGCUCAAUUUAGCUUUUUUUGGGAACACUCCUGCCCUUGCACUGCCUCUCAGUACCUCUAAAGUACUGUUGUCCAACAGAGCUUUCUGCAGUGAUGGAAAUGUUCUGUAAUUAUUGCUGCCCAAUAUGGCAGCCAAUAGCUGCAGGUGGCUAACGUUUACCAUACUGGACAGCACAGUUCUGAAGAGUUGAGAGAGAAGAGUUUUUGUUUAUCUGGGAAGUGUGGACAAAAUCUGCCCCACCUGUCUCAUAGGUGCAUCUGGAGCAAACAGUUGAUGAAAUGUGAGAGGCCUCUACUUAAGGGGCUUGGAAAGGCAGUAGUAUGAACUGAGUGGACUUACUCUUUAGGCUAUGGUGGACCCUCAAGUUAUGACUGGCCUGACAUAUGAAUAACUUGGAUUAUGACCG